UUUGAUCGAAUCGCAAUAUUACAGCAUGUUGAUUUCACUUAUUCAGAAAUGCAAUUUAUAAAUAACAGCGUACAUUACAUACAUUAAUAUGUAUUGCAAGACUUAUUACAUACAUUAAUUCAUGCUGUCGCAAUGUAUUUAUUAUAAAACGAGAUCGAUUGUGGAAUUAAUUUAUGGAUUGCUAUUCUGCAAAAUCUUCCUACACUGUGAACGGCACGUCAUUGGAAAUGUUGCAUAUUAUUGUAUGUUUUAUUUAUUUAGUUUGCAGCUACCCCCACACAGUAAGACAUAAAGUAACUUACUCUAAUGGGGUAAAUGAAGAAUUUAACUUGCUUGAUGUGGAAAACUUCAAUAUGCCAGGAGAGGUGAAGCCGACGUUUCGAGAAGUUCUUCCUCAACAAGCUCUCUAUGGAGGAUGUACCCACUAUGGUGCUUUGUAAACCUAAGCUGCUCCCUCUUAAAUCAGUCACCCUGGAAAAGCUAGAGAAA